GUUUUUGGAUACUGUUAAGGAAUUUUGUUUGGCAGAAGACACGUAAAUAAGCGUGAAUAAUUCCUCGUUCCUGAAGCCAAUUGUACGGAAGAUGUUUCAUCAUUAGGUAUGUUUAUGUACAGCUGCUACGACUAUCUAAGGCAGACGCACAACCAAGCCCGAACCCAAAUUAUAACCUCAGUAUUGGGCGGGAGGUGGAUCUGUCGGAUAAUUAGCUCCUAUCGAAAGCUUAAGAAAAUUGACUACUUCAUCUCUGAAAACUCAUGGCUGAACUGGUCGACCGGGAUCACCAUUCACGGCAAUCAGAGACCAGAAGUGCGGCUGUAUUUGGCUUGAAGAUUUGACUUGUCGUCAAAGUGUUCCUGCCAGUUCUAUGCGGGCAGACCCGCACUGAAGGAAUGACGCAGAAUGACGGUGUUAAACAACGGAAUGGCCGCUUGCACCGCUACUGAUACCGCGGAAUUCGGAUCAAAUGGCAAGUCAUGCCCGCUACCCAGGGCAGCUCUUAGCGGGGGGUUCAGCGCGUAAAUUACGCGGUACCACGACUAAA